rnacentral:lncRNA from 1 species
UUAACAUAACUUUUAUUUCUGAAUAUUCUAUUUUUAAGUGGUAGAACCUGCAGAUUCUUUCACAAAACACUUAUCAAUUCUUAUAAAUAAUGGUAAAUUCCCUUUGAAUCCAGAAAAAGUACACAGGAACAUUUUACACACCCAAGUCAAACCCCAAGGCCAAUUUGAAUAAAGUGAAAUUUGGUUAACAUGACAAGUUAACUUUUGUCAUCCUUUACUGAAAUAAUUUUUUGACAGCAUUUUUUAUAUGUUGGAAAUAGGUG